UUACCGCCGCAUAGGUGGAGGUGGGAGAAGGGAGAAUGGGGUGGGGACUGCGGAGCCCUAGGAGAGGGCGCGGUGAUGCGGUUGCGUAGGUAGCUCAGUGUCACAGCUCCUCCUUGAAGCGCGCCUCUGAGGCCAGGUUGGAGAUCUGGCUUGAGAAGUUCCCAAAAAGCAAAUAACCCUACUGUCCGGAAAAGCCAGGAGGCCGUGUGCCCCGAGGGGCGUGCCGAGACCGCCCUCCUCGAGCCCCCAGGCUGGUGGACCGGGCCUUGGGACACACCUUGCGCUUGGGUCUGCACUGGCCAGGGCCGGAUCAGAUCCGUACUUUGGGGACAGCACCCCUCCCGCCACCCCCAAAUACACAUUCACAUACAGCGGGCUUCAGAGCUGCGCUCCCACCUUGAGAAGUGACUUUGGGUAUACUGUGCCUUCCAUGAGAGGGGGGACAGAGUAGUCUGGCUGUGAUUAGUAACAUUCAGCACAUACCUACUAGGAGCCAGCCCACUGCUAGGCCUGUAUGGACAUAAACAUUUAAUCCUCACAACCCACCUCACAGGUGGGCACAGUUGGUCUCCCCAUUUUUCAGGGUCAGAUUAGUGACUCAAGGUCACACAUCCUGUAAGCGGUGGGGCAGAUCUGAGUUCAAACCCAGACUGAACAUCCUUCUGUGGCAAAGGGGGGUGGGGUGGGGUGGAUGGGCUGGCUGCUCACUAAGUUCAUCCCAGUUGUGGCAUUCCGUGCCGAGGGUCCCUCAUACCAGGCCUGUGGCUGGGCGUUGGACAAACUAGGAAAAUUCCAAUGGCUAAAACACAGCCCCACUUAAGUACAAAUGCCAAGGGCAGCACGGUAGAGAGGACCUUAGGUUCUCUGAGAAUUUUAUUGCAUGCUCAGCAUAGGGGGAAGGAGUAACUAUAGAAUAAGUAAGAUACAUUCUCUUCUCUCAUAAGGUAGAUCUAAAUACGUGUACGUACAGUUUAGCUGGACCCUGAGGAAGAUGAGAGUCAGGGAAAAGGUAUUAGGAGUGGGGUCCAGCAGACAAAGGCUUGACAGCAAGGAUAGAAACAAAAUCAAAGAUGGUGAGAAGACAGGCCUGGCAGUGGGCAAUGAGGCUGGGCAAAACAAGAUCAUGGAGUGUUUUAAAUGCCAGCCUGAUUAUUUGAGUCAUUAUCCUUAGGUAACUGGGAACCAGGAGAGAUGUGGAAGCCAUAUUUCAAGCCAAGAAUCUUACUCUGGGGAGUAAGAUGCAUUUGAAGGGAGAAGGGAGGGACUGAUUGGACCUUAGUUUUACCAUCUGGAAAUUGGACUCGAAGGACUGUCAAAUGCAUUGUAGAAUAGAAAUCCUGAAAUGCUCGAGAUGGCAGGACACUUAGAGUCACUGUUAUCCAACCCUUUAUCCCACGUAAGGAGAAACAGAGCUCUGAGGAGGAGAGGCUAGCCCCAGUUUGCACAGUGAAUGAGCAGAGAUGGGUCCUCCAUACCAGUUCUCCUGCCUCUGGGCCUUUUUCUCCCUGCUGUGAUUCUAAAAUGAGGACCUUGGUAUCCAUGAAACAGGAUUUGAAUGUGAAUUUGGGAGAAGGCCUCCCACCCCAGGUUCCACCAUGCUUUGAAGAGUCACCUUUGCUGACUACAAAUGGAAUUGAGGUUAACAAACCAGGCUGAUCUUUCCCCUGGUGGAUAUCUUUACAGAGCAUGGUAGAUAAUAAUUAAUUGUCCACCCCGCUCUCCAUGAAAAUGGGGUUCCAGUGAGAGGUGGGAGGAGGGCCAGCGCUGGGGGGAUUUCUAUGAUUCCUUCCAGCUCUUAGAGAAAUUAGAGCCUUUCUAGCUUUUCUGAUCAUGUUGGACUCAGAUUGAUUUCAAAACAGUGAAAAUUAGGUAGACUAGAGCAUUCUACUUCUAAUUUAUAAAUGUCAAAUGGGAGACACUUUGGUUCUCCCAUGAAGCUUUUCUCUCCUUCUCACCAAAAAGUUCAGUGUCUCCACUUCCUCACCUCCCACCCACCUCUGAGCCCAGUGCACUCUGGCUCUGCCCCUAUUCCUUCACCUAGGCAGCUCUCAUUGUGGCCACUAGUGGCCCACUGUUGUCAAAUUCAAGGUCAUUUUAUAGUCCUCACCUUCCUGGCCCAUGUGACUGCUCUGCGCACAACUGCUCAUCCCUCCUAGACAGGCUCUCCUCUAAGGUUCCAUGACCCUGCAUCCUCCUGGCUUCGCUCUGCUGCUCUGCUGCUCCUCUUCUCUGGUCUGCUGUAUGAGCUUGUCUUCUUGGCCUACCCUGAAAUAUUGGGGUACUACAGGACUCUGCCCCAGGCCCUCUGCUCUUCUUACUCUGUCCUAUCCUGGGCAACCUCAUCCAUGCCAGCUCUUGAGGGAACAUAUGCCACAUUCCCAGCUCUGGCUAAGGAGCUUUGCAGGAAUGGGUAUAUUUUUUUCUCCUCAAGAUUCCCCUGUAAAGUAGGUACAAUUUCCAUCCCCAUCUUACAGAUGAGGCAACUGGCUCAAAAAUGUCCCAGGAUUAAAAAAAAAAAAAAAAAGUUACAGGAUUUGAAUAGUCCACAGCUGGUAAUCAGUGGAGUCAGGAUUUGAACUCAGGUCUGUCAGACUCCCAAACCUGAUGGCCCAACACUUCCCUGUGGUGUCAGCUGAAAAGGGUUCAAGGUGUGACUCCCUUUCAGGGUCAUUCUGCUUGUAAAAAGUACACAUAAACCUCGCUACCUGUAGGCUACACUCUGACCAGCACCCAUCUUCACCCUUUGGAAAGGGCUGCCAACUCCCAUAGCCUCAUAAAUAAAGCCCAGGGGAACCGCCUUGGACAGGACAUCUACUCCCAGAGCUCUAAGUCCCAUCAAUAAAUGUCACCUUUGAACAACUCCAAAGAGAGUCCCUGAACCAGGUAAAGGGGACUAAUGAUUAAGGCCAAACACACUGGUUGCCCAGAGCUCAGAGCAAAUCCUCAGUGCAAGGGCCAGGUCUGCUGCAUCCACAUCUGGUACAGGGUCUCACUCAGACCAGACUGUCACUGGCUACCUGAGGACAUGUGAGUGCUGUGAUGAGGAAGAAGGAUCUGGACUUAGUUUCAAAUUCUACUCUAUCAGUUACUAGCUGAGUACCACUGGGCAAUGGCUAAUCAUUGGGCCCAGGACUAAUCACACCUAUUUCUUAGGGUUGCGGAUCAGCAAGAGUUCGUAUGUUUCUCACCUUCACAAGGCCAACACACGGGAGGCACCAGCCAUCACAACCAUACAAUAAAUAAUUCCUUGCUGCAUCCCAGCCUGAGCCAGGGCUCUGAAGGUCCAGGAUAUUUCACCAUGGGAGGUUCGGCAAACAACGGCAUGGCAACUCAAGAGGAUAAAACAGGGAUGCUUCAGAGGAUCAGUGUUUGGAUCCCAUGUCAAAACGUGGAGUGGAAGAGGGUAACAAGGAGCUACUCCAUAGCAGGCCACAGGGCAGUGUUUGCCAGCACACCUCCACUUGGUUAAGCUGGGAAGUCUCAUGAUGCAAGGACCUUGUCAGGAUUACAGCUGUAUCCCCGGAGCCUAGCGCUGUGCUUGGCAUACAACAGGUGCUCAAUCAAUACUUGCCAAAUGACUGAAUGCAUCCUGUCAGUAUCAGGAUGCCACCCAGGCCCUGAGGGAGCCAGGGCAUGGGAGGAAAACGUUUGGACUCCUGCCAUGCCUUACAUUAGCAGCAUCUUCUCUGAGCCCUGACAGCCAGCCCCCUGGGAUGCCAUUUGAGCCAGCUGAAUUCCGGUCACUGUUUCACCUUGGAAAGGCAACCGCAGCCCUCACCAAGCAGCCCAGUAACUGACGUCACAGCAGUGCCAGGAGCUGCCCCGUUAAUAUUUAAUGUAGACUCCACUGCGGCAGAGCUGCAGGCUAGAAGAGCUGGAGGGGGCUGUGCACCGUCUCCACGGGGUCGUGAGGAGGGCACAGAUGGAAAACGGCUUCGUAAACCGGAAAGCCCCCAGCAGAUGAGCAUUACACUGGCCCGUUUUAGUCCCUGGCUUAACUCAGAAAGAGCCAGAACAGCAUGUGCCUGCAGUAGGACAAGGAGACUGCUGACUGAGCCCAAGUGAUAAAUAUAUGCGGGAUUAGGGGCUCCGAGGGAGAUUUCCUGGAGACUGUGGGAGGGUGAGCACUGGCGCCAGCCAGACCUGGACUCUACUCCAGGUUUGCACAGUGCAGCUGUGCGACUGGGUAGCAACUGUACCACUGAGCCUCAGUUCUCUGAUCUGUGAGAUGGGCACAAUACCUUCCUUGAGGGGCUGUUGUGAGGAUUAAAUAAAACAAGUGAUGGAGAGGACCCAGCUCAGUACUUACUAGGACCUUGGUAAAUGCUUCUCCAAACCUCAGGGGCCUGAGGUUAGAGACAGGAGAUGUGAAAGUGCUUCAUGCAUUCACUGGCCAGGAUGACAGGAAGAGAGGGGCCCUUGUGGACCAUCUCUUCUGAUCAUCUGACCCCUUCAUUAGACAGACAAGGAUGCUGAGGGCCCAGGAGGGGACAGAGGCUCACACAGCAGAGCUGAGGUCUGACCUGAUCUGCAGUUGCCUGCCAGCCUUCCCCACCAGUGAUGAUGAUGAGAUGCCCCCAUUGAUGAUGGAUGCCUCUGCCUCUCUGACCUGGACAAAGCAGGACCCUCAUCCUCCACCCCUUCCUUGUCUCCCUCUGGUAUGUUUCCCCACAAAUCCUGGCAGCUUCCCAAAAUGUAAAUCCGAACCAAGGCAGCUCCUGCUUAAACCCCUUCUGUGGUCUCACAUUUAGCACUGGCCAGAGAAAAUACAGGAGGCCCAGUUAAAACUGAAUUUUAUAUAAAGAACAAAUGAUUCUUCAGUAUAAGAAUGUUCCAGGGACGCCUGGGUAGCUCCGUCGGUUGAGCGUCUGACUUCAGCUCAGAGCAUUAUCUCACGGUUUGUGAGUUCGAGCCCCAUGUUGGGCUCUGUGCUGACAGCUCAGAGCCUGGAGCCUGUUUCAAGUUUUGUGUCUCCCUCUCUCUCUGUCCCUCCCCAGC